GAUGAAGAACGUAGCGAAAUGCGAUACGUAAUGUGAAUUGCAGAAUUCAGUGAAUCAUCGAGUCUUUGAACGCACAUUGCGCCCCCUGGUAUUCCGGGGGGCAUGCCUGUCCGAGCGUCAUUGCUGCCCUCAAGCACGGCUUGUGUGUUGGGCCUCCGCCCCCCGGCUCCCGGGGGGCGGGCCCGAAAGGCAGCGGCGGCACCGCGUCCGGUCCUCGAGCGUAUGGGGCUUCGUCACCCGCUCCGUAGGCCCGGCCGGCGCCCGCCGGCGACCCCCCUCAAUCUUUCCAGGUUGACCUCGGAUCAGGUAGGGAUACCCGCUGAACUCAAGCAUAUCAAUAAGCGGAGGA
rnacentral:misc_RNA from 1 species